AUCGUGUCAAUAACUCCUAAAUAAGGGCUGAUUCACCGUAGGGAUGGUUUGGCUGGGCAGCCGGCUCUUGGAAGAGUCUUGGUGGUUCCAAACUUCUUCCAUUUAAGAAUGAUGGAAGCCACUGUGUUCUUGGGUACCUUCAAUGCUGCAGAAAUGUUUUGGUGCCUUUCCCCACAUCUGUGCCUCGACACAAUCCUGUCUCGGAGCUCUAGGGACAAUUCCUUCGACCUCAUGGCUUGGUUUAUGCUCUGACGUGCACUGUCAACUGUGGAACCUUACGUAGACAGACAGCUGUGUGCCUUUCCAAAUCAUGACCAAUCAAUUGAAUUUACCACAGGUGGACUCCAAUCAAGUUGUAGAAACAUCUCAAGGAUGAUCAAUGGAAACAGGAUGGACCUGAGCUCAACUUCCAGCCUCAUAGCAAAGGGUCUGAAAACGUGGACUCCAAUCAAGUUGUAGAAACAUCUCAAGGAUGAUCAAUGGAAACAGGAUGGACCUGAGCUCAAUUUCCAGCCUCAUAGCAAAGGGUCUGAAAACGUGGACUCCAAUCAAGUUGUAGAAACAUCUCAAGGAUGAUCAAUGGAAACAGGAUGGACCUGAGCUCAAUUUCCAGCCUCAUAGCAAAGGGUCUGAAAACGUGGACUCCAAUCAAGUUGUAGAAACAUCUCAAGGAUGAUCAAUGGAAACAGGAUGGACCUGAGCUCAAUUUCCAGCCUCAUAGCAAAGGGUCUGAAAACGUGGACUCCAAUCAAGUUGUAGAAACAUCUCAAGGAUGAUCAAUGGAAACAGGAUGGACCUGAGCUCAAUUUCCAGCCUCAUAGCAAAGGGUCUGAAAACGUGGACUCCAAUCAAGUUGUAGAAACAUCUCAAGGAUGAUCAAUGGAAACAGGAUGGACCUGAGCUCAAUUUCCAGCCUCAUAGCAAAGGGUCUGAAAACGUGGACUCCAAUCAAGUUGUAGAAACAUCUCAAGGAUGAUCAAUGGAAACAGGAUGGACCUGAGCUCAAUUUCCAGCCUCAUAGCAAAGGGUCUGAAAACGUGGACUCCAAUCAAGUUGUAGAAACAUCUCAAGGAUGAUCAAUGGAAACAGGAUGGACCUGAGCUCAAUUUCCAGCCUCAUAGCAAAGGGUCUGAAAACGUGGACUCCAAUCAAGUUGUAGAAACAUCUCAAGGAUGAUCAAUGGAAACAGGAUGGACCUGAGCUCAAUUUCCAGCCUCAUAGCAAAGGGUCUGAAAACGUAUGUAAAUAAGGUAUUUUUUAAAUAUUUUUUUAUGAAUAAAAACUAUAUGUUA